rnacentral:rRNA from 1 species
AUGAACGCUGGCGGCGUGCCUAAUCCAUGCAAGUCGAGCGAACGGACGAGAAGCUUGCUUUUCUGAUGUUAGCGGCGGACGGGUGAGUAACACGUGGAUAACCUACCUAUAAGACUGGGAUAACUUCGGGAAACCGGAGCUAAUACCGGAUAAUAUUUUGAACCGCAUGGUUCAAAAGUGAAAGACGGUCUUGCUGUCACUUAUAGAUGGAUCCGCGCUGCAUUAGCUAGUUGGUAAGGUAACGGCUUACCAAGGCAACGAUGCAUAGCCGACCUGAGAGGGUGAUCGGCCACACUGGAACUGAGACACGGUCCAGACUCCUAAGGGAGGCAGCAGUAGGGAAUCUUCCGCAAUGGGCGAAAGCCUGACGGAGCAACGCCGCGUGAGUGGUGAAGGUCUUCGGAUCGUAAAACUCUGUUAUUAGGGAAGAACAUAUGUGUAAGUAACUGUGCACAUCUUGACGGUACCUAAUCAGAAAGCCACGGCUAACUACGUG